AAAAUCCACGGAAAGGAAACAUUGCCUAAUUUAAAAUCUGCACAGUGUAGCGGGUGGACACAUCAGGAUUUGCCACAUCUCCAUACAUCAAGCACCCUUAUCAAGUCUUGGAUUCUGCAUAGAAGGCAGCAGCAGGAUGUGGGGAAGCAGUCCCUAGACGCUGGGCUAUGGACCCUCCAGGAAAGCGCAGCUCGCCGGGCUGGCCAAGCAUGCCCCCACCGCACUCCGCACUCCAGAGAGUAGAGGCUUCCCCGUGAGUGCCUGUUUCCUACUGAGACAUGCCCUUUGUGCAUCUUGAUGGGGCACCUGGCCACUCCUGGGCAGCUCUGUCUCCAGGGCCGACAUGCAGAUCCAAGCUCCCUCUUCUCACGAUACCAUCUUCAACACAUGGUCUUCAAAGAAGCAAAGAGAGGAGGUGGUCAGAACCCCAGCAGCCUGGAAGUGGUUUACAGCCCUCUAUCCACAUCCCAUUUGCCAGAGUCCAAUCACAUGGACUGCAAGGGAGACUGAAAAUGUCAUUUUCCUGUAUGUCCCCUGUGAUGGGCUGACAGAUCUGACUCCAUGAGAAUGUUAUAGGCCAGACUCUAAGGGAAAUGACUAAA